rnacentral:ncRNA from 1 species
UGGGUAGUAUCUAUUUGGAGCUACACCUAAUUGUUAUAUUAAAGAAAUAAUAUUAUAUUUUUAUUCGUUGCUCAUAUCGUCAGGAAUGAGACUUUU